rnacentral:rRNA from 1 species
UACGAAGGGUGCAAGCGUUGUUCGGAUUUAUUGGGCGUAAAGGGCGCGUAGGCGGAUAAUUAAGUCAGGUGUGAAAUCUCGGGGCCUAACCUCGAAACUGCGCCUGAAACUGGUAAUCUAGAAUAUCGGAGAGGAAAAGGGAAUUUCGCACGUAGGAGUAAAAUCCGUAGAGAUGCGAAGGAACACCGGAGGCGAAGGCGCUUUUCUGGCCGAUUAUUGACGCUGAGGCGCGAAAGCGUGGGGAGCAAACAGG